AUGAGGUUGGUGACAGGAAUUACUGUCCUCCUAACUUUGGGUAUUGUGGGUGAUGCUAAGACUACACAGCCUAAUUCAAUGGAGAGUACUGAAGAAGAACCUGUACACCUGCCUUGUAACCACUCCACAAUCAGUGGAAGUGAAUACAUAUACUGGUAUCGACAGACUCCCCACCAGGGUCCGGAGUAUGUGAUUCAUGGUCUAAAAACCAAUGUCACCAACAGACUGGCCUCUCUAGCCAUCCCUGCUGACAGAAAGUCCAGUACCUUGAUCCUGCCCCACGUCACCCUGAGAGACACUGCUGUGUACUACUGCAUCGUGAGAGACACACACUGGGACAGAUGGAGCUGCACCUGCACAAUAUCUUCUGGGAGGGUGGGGGAAGGGAAGCAGCAGCCAUUUAGAGAGGCCACUGCACAGGAAUGA